ensembl:snoRNA
UGGUCAGUGAUGACAUGACCACUGUGCAUUCUGAGUUUUGAAAACCAGAUGAUGGAGUUUGAACUAAGCACGGACUGAGACCA